AGCACGGUGCCGAGUGGAUGGGGAAUCAUGUUGGACUGGAUGGCUGUGAACAGAGGCUAAAAGCACAAUCUGUUGUUAGAGUGGCAAGUAGAGACGUGGCAGAUAAGUAAUACGACAUAUUUCCUCCCGGCUCCCAGACACUCUUGUUAAGAUAAACACUAAAUAACACCAGCUGGUCUCCAUGUGAAUAUUAUUAUCAAAUUUACGUUCCCAAAGGAGUAAGUUUUUUAUGACGAUUUGUGGUUCUCUUUCACGUGCCUGUCUUUGAAGGUCUGCUGCUUGUUUGGGGUCUGUUGUGAUUCUGGAGCUAUUGAAACACGACAGCAGGUGACCCUCGUUCACCCACGGUAAGAUUUUAUGUCUUCCUGACAUGGAGGCAGGUCUCCUUCCAACUCUUGUUUAAUCUGAGUUUGGAGAAUGAAAAAUAACUUCCAGCUAAUCAAACAUAAAAGUAAACGUGGGUGAGUUUGCUUCAUGAAGGGUCAGCUGAUUAUCCCAGCAUUAUGCGGUGUCUCGUGAAUUCCUGGGGAUGGUCCGCAGGAGAACACGGUCUUCUACAAGCUUGUUCCUGCUUUUACUCUUGGGUGCCUUUGUUGACCUUGAAAAGGUGGCGCAGUUGCUUGUUUUCAAUGCUCAUUUGAGAAUGAGACACCUCCACUCCCUACUAAUUCAAUUCAAAAUUGUGAGGCCUCACAAAAAGCCAUUUACACACGAAAUUAAGUGUGACUGCUUGCAAAAAAGAAAAACUAUCAGCCUUUCUGAGCUUCUCUUUUUAGGGACAGCACCCAAUUCAUGCUGCAACAUUGACGUUGAACCCAAAGGAAAGGCUGAGCAAAUGCAUUUUUCCAUCUUUAAGAUAGUUUACAAAAAUAUUAUAAAGUAAUAAAUCCUCAUUUGAAGAGAAUUGUGAAAAUACAGAGAAGUGUAAAGAAAACAGGUCAUCCGUAGUGUCCCUCCAGAUAGAGCUGUCGUGAUUUUAGUUCCUUCCCGCUAAUCUUUUUUCCUACACAUUUGUCUUUUAAAUAAUUG
rnacentral:lncRNA from 1 species